CCUUUGGGACUGAAGACCAGCCAGCUCUGAAGGCGGCUGUGCCCUCCAAGGACACGCCCAAGGGGGCCAGCCGCGCGGCCCCUCCUGCAGCCUCCAAUGUGACAACGGCCCGCAGGAGUCUGCUUCCGGCCCCUAAGUCUGCGUGCACGCCUGCGGGGACAAAGAAAGAAGUGCAAAAAGAUCAAGAUGCUAAUAAGCCGGCUGUUUCAUCUCCUAAGAGAAUAGCAGCUUCAGCCACCAAGCUUCAUUCACCAGGACACCCCAAGCAGAGGGUUGCGGCCCCCCGAAAUGGGUUUCCCCCCAAGCCAGACCUGCAGGCCCGCGAAGCCGAGAGGCAGCUGGUUCAGCGGCUGAAGGAGAAGUGUGAGCAGCAGGCCCGGCAGCUGGGCCUGGUGCAGGCGGAGCUGAGCAGGGCCGUCCGCGGCUUCCAGGCCCUCGCGGUGUCCACUCAGCAUUUCUCUGGACAGACUGAGCUCCUCUUCCUGAACCCCUCCCUGGAUAAUCCUGGCCUGGUAAGCACGGGUACUGGAAAGGCUCCUGAACUCUAGCCUUAGCGUCCCAAUCUGGACCCCCAGCUUCCUGGUGAUCAGCUCCAUCCAGUCACCAGGAACCUCAGUUCAGUGGAUCGCAAACAGUGUUCAUCAGUUUCCUGCCGUACCUUCGCCUCACUUCAUUUAUUCUGUUUAAUUUGGGCACCCCAGUUACCUGAACGAGGAAACCGGUCGCCCUCUGUGAUGGUUAAUCUUGUGUCAACUUGACUAAGGCCAUGGAGCGCCCAGAUAUUUGCUCACACAUUACCCUGGGGUAUGUGUGAGGGUGUUUCUGGAUGAGAUUCACAUUUGACAGGGUGGGGGUGGGCCUCAUCCAAUCGGUGGAUCCAGAACAGGCUUUAACUCAAAAAAGGCCAAGCAAGAGAGAAUUCCUUCUGCCUGCCUGCCUUCCGGCUGUGACAUUGGGGUUUUUUUUUUCUGCCUUGAGGCUAAAUCUGAAGGAUCGGCUCUCCUGGGUCCCCAGCUGGCAGACAGCUGAUCCUGGGACUUCUCAGCCUCCGU